GAGUCUAUAGCUUAAAGGUUAGAGCAUACGCUUGAUAAGCGUAAGGUUGGCUGUUCAAGUCAGCCUAGACUCA
rnacentral:tRNA from 1 species